AAAUUCUUAACGGCCGCGGCACUAAAACCGUGCAAAGGUAGCACAAUCACUUGUCCCUUAAAUGAGGACCCGUAUGAAAGGCAACAUGAGAGAAGACCUGUCUCCUAAGGCCAGCCAAUGAAACUGAACUACCAGUACAAAAGCUGGUAUUUACAAGCAAGACAAAAAGACCCUAUGGAACUUUAACAAAUAUUUACAAAACAUAAAUUAUAGUUUCAGUUGGGACAACUUUAGAGAAAAUUAACCUCUUACAACACACUAGACCAACAAGUCUAUACCGACUCGACCCAGUCACACUGAUUAACGAAACAAGCUACCCUAGGGAUAACAGCGCUACCUUCUCAAAGAGUCCAUAUCAACAAGAAGAUCUACGACCUCGAUGUUGGAUCAGGGUACCCAGACGGUGCAGCAGCUGUCAAUGGUUCGUUUGUUCAACGACUAAUACCC
rnacentral:rRNA from 2 species